UACGGAGGGUGCAAGCGUUAUCCGGAUUCACUGGGUUUAAAGGGUGCGUAGGUGGGUUGGUAAGUCAGUGGUGAAAUCUCCGUGCUUAACCCGGAAACUGCCAUUGAUACUAUUUGUCUUGAAUACUGUGGAGGUCAGCGGAAUAUGUCAUGUAGCGGUGAAAUGCUUAGAUAUGACAUAGAACACCAAUUGCGAAGGCAGCUGGCUACACAAAUAUUGACACUGAGGCACGAAAGCGUGGGGAUCAAACAGG
rnacentral:rRNA from 1 species